rnacentral:lncRNA from 1 species
GUUCCCAGAGCCACAGACAAAAGGUCCUCGGAGGAAUCUUUCUCUAAACUGCUUCUCCCCUCCAACUUCCCAAAUUUGACCUCCUCCAGGGACCAUCCUUUUCCGACCACAGGAAAAGCCCUUCCUUAAAUCCUUUAAAGCCUAGGCUUAGGGGAUUGGGCUCCUGCUUUAAGAGGCUGCUGUGCAGGAAGAGAAGUGAAGAUGGAGACCAUCCAGCGAGCACAAUGCUCAAAGGCCCAAUGGAUCCACUCCUGACCCUGG